CGAACGCUGGCGGCGUGCCUAAUACAUGCAAGUCGAGCGAAGUUUUUCUGGUGCUUGCACUAGAAAAACUUAGCGGCGAACGGGUGAGUAACACGUAAAGAACCUGCCUCAUAGACUGGGACAACUAUUGGAAACGAUAGCUAAUACCGGAUAACAGCAUUAACUGCAUGGUUGAUGUUUGAAAGUUGGUUUUGCUAACACUAUGAGAUGGCUUUGCGGUGCAUUAGCUAGUUGGUGGGGUAAAGGCCUACCAAGGCGACGAUGCAUAGCCGACCUGAGAGGGUGAUCGGCCACACUGGGACUGAGACACGGCCCAGACUCCUACGGGAGGCAGCAGUAGGGAAUCUUCCGCAAUGGGCGAAAGCCUGACGGAGCAACGCCGCGUGAGUGAAGAAGGAUUUCGGUUCGUAAAGCUCUGUUGUUAGGGAAGAAUGAUUAUGUAGUAACUAUACAUAGUAGAGACGGUACCUAACCAGAAAGCCACGGCUAACUACGUGCCAGCAGCCGCGGUAAU
rnacentral:rRNA from 1 species